GAAGAAAGAAAGUUCACGUAAUCAGGAAAGAUGGCGGCAUCCAUGAGACUGCUGGUCCGCCGAGCGAUCCGUCUUUCUCACAAAAAUAUCACCCUGACCGCCGCCGGAGCUGCAGCUCGGUCCGACUGCUGUCGUGGACCUUUGGUCUGUCGAUGUUUCAGUGACGAAGCCGAGGACAGAAGUACACAUUUUGGCUUCGAGACGGUUCCCGAGACGGAGAAAGCGAAGAGAGUGUAUAAGGUGUUUGAGAAUGUGGCGCAGAAGUAUGACAUCAUGAACGAUGCCAUGAGUCUGGGGAUUCAUCGAAUGUGGAAGGACACGCUGCUGCACGUCAUGCACCCUCAGCCUGGAGCUCAGCUGCUGGACAUGGCGGGUGGAACAGGCGACAUUUCUUUCCGUUUCCUGGACUACAUUCGUUCACAAGAAGAGCGUCAGAAGAGGCGGGUGGCUCGGUCCAGCCAGACGCCGUCGUGGCGGGACAUCUCCAACAACUAUUCCACCCAGGACGAGCCCCGAGAGUCGCGGGCCGUGGUGUGCGACAUCAACAAGGAGAUGCUGAAAGUGGGCAAGCAGAAAGCCGACAGUCUGGGCGUCAGCGCUGGGCUGUCAUGGGUGGUGGGAGAUGCAGAGGAGCUGCCCUUCGAUGAUGACCAGUUUGAUAUUUACACCAUCGCAUUCGGCAUUCGAAACGUCACUCAUAUAGAUCAGGCUCUUCAGGAGGCUCUGCGGGUCCUGAAGCCCGGCGGCAGGUUCAUGUGCUUAGAGUUCAGCAAAGUGAAUAAUCCUAUUCUGUCACGUAUUUAUGACGCAUACAGUUUCCAGAUGAUCCCAGUUAUAGGAGAGGUGAUUGCAGGAGACUGGAAGUCCUAUCAGUAUUUGGUAGAGAGCAUCCGCAAGUUUCCCAACCAAGAGGAGUUCAAAGGCAUGAUCGAGGACGCAGGUUUCUACUGUGUGAAGUACUACAACCUCACUGGUGGAGUCGUGGCUCUUCACUCUGGUUUCAAGCUGUGAGAUGCACUCAGAAUGCCUCCUGCAAAAAUCAGCGAGUAAAAAGACUGGCUGUGUUUCAGGCUUUUCUGCCUGUAUGAGAGACUGUUUGCAGACAUGAAGCUGCUCUCUGCAGAUGCCACUGCACAAUGACAGAAAAUCAGGAGCAGAUCAAGCACUAACUACUAAUGAAGGGGGUCAACUUUAAUGCCAUUUUAUACAAGCAGUGAUUCAAAGGUGCAGCUUAAAAGAUGUGGAACUCUCAGAGGGUGAAUUAAUGUGGAGUUGAGAGCAGCUGGAUGUCCAGAAGGUGGCAGCAAAGCCAUACAGAACUGUUCUUCGAGUUAAUGGUUGUGAGUCUAAUCAACUUUUGUAACUCUGAACGAGCCAACUUCACAUCAUUCCACAAACAAAAUUCUUAACUCGAUGCCACGCCACAGUACAAAUACAACACCGAUGCUCAAUGUCACCGCUUUCUGGAACAAAACAAACAACACGCUUACUCCUGAGGAUUGAUAUGAAAAGAAUGCAAUGCUUUGCAUUCAGACGGAGGAAUUCGAAGACACAAAGGCAGGAGCACUGUGAAUAGGAAUUUAUAAUAUAUUUUCCAGCGAGAACUCUUCCUCUGUCAUAAAUACUUUACUCUGUGGCUUAAUGUGACUCAUCUUUUGGCUCUUUUCCACCGAAGCUUUUGUUGCUUGGUUCACUGCUCAAAAACCGCUUUGAUGCCAUUCAGCCUUUUAUAUCGCCACUUCCUCUGUGCAAUCCUGGCGCCAUGCUUUGUUGUGUUUUUCUUCUCCUCCUUACCAAAGAGACACAUAACCACAAAAACACACACACCAGCUAUGUCCCCCUGGGCACUGGGGUUUGUCCCUGCAGUGUCCGUGGAAGAGGAUGAGCAAUGGCGUUACAGUAAAUCCUCAAAGUCCAAGAUUAGGGUACAUAUUUUGCCAGUGACUCCUUCGAGGAUUAAAGAAGGCCACACUGGGAAAACAGGAAGCAUAAUCACAACCCAGUGCACUCUGGGUACCCUUAUCUCUCCAGGUGCUCUGAAAGACCAACCUAAACAUCUAAAAGGUACCGGAAAGAACGUCACUAAAGAUCGCAGGGCUGCGGUCCCUGAGCACAUCAGGGGAACUUCCAUUCUAUUGUCCACAGAACUGCAUUAUGUUUCAUGUGUACAGAAUAUGUAAUGAAAAAAACAAACUCAGCAGCUAGAUGACCACAUCAGCAUGGCCAGAGUUUAGAGGUUUGACUCCCAUCAAGUUCACUUAUGCACGCACUAUUCAGACAUUUCUAAUGAAAGCAUCCUUCAAAGGCAGAUGGUUUACGGGACUAACUUUCGUAUGCUAAGUGAAAUGCCACUUGAACUGCUGCUCUGGCCGCAUAUUUAUAGAUAGCAGUACUGUUACUGUGCUGUUAACAGUUCGCAGCCUAAUUCUCAAUGUCAUGUAAGAAGCUAUAAUUUGUUGUGGUGCUACAACUAAGGGCUAUCUUCAUUGAACUGUCAAUGAUAUUCAAAGUUACUUAUUAACGUGUCAGAAAACAGUAAAAAAUGUUGAUCAUCUUUAAUUUUUGUUGUUUUUUUCUUCAAACCUAUGGCAAUUUAACUUUGUUAUGCUGCAUAAAUAUAUUUAUAGUUUUCUCUCUCUCUCACUCCAGGAUGGAACCACUCUAUUGGCAGCUAAUUACAGCAGCUCUCACUCGUUGAGUUUUUUUUUCUUGUAAAAUUCCCCACUGCGGAAUCAAAAAAGGUUUUGUCUGUCUGUCUGUCUUAAUGGUAAAAAUUUCAGGAGGGAUUUGCCACUAAAGAAAGAAACAGUGAAAAUUCUUUACAUCUUUUCCAUUUAGUGGGAUAUACAUACGAAACUAUGACAUUGUCGUGACGUUUUGGAUGACAUACAAAACUAUGACAUUUUUGUCAAAUUUUGGACCACGUACUAAACUAUGACGUUUUUUUGUCCAUUUUCGGACGACAUACUAAACUUGGACGUUUUUGUCUAUUUUCGGAUGACAUACUAAACUAUGAUGAAUUUAUCCCAUUUUGGAUGACAUACUAAACUAUCACGUUUUUGUCCAUUUUUGGACUACAUGUUAAAUCAUGACGUUUUUUGUCCAUUUUCGGACGACAUACUAAACUAUAACAUUUUUGUCAAAUUAUGGACCACAUACUAAACUAUGACGUUUUUACCCCAUUUUCGAGAGACAUACUAAACUAUGACGAUUUUUGUCCAUUUUCGGAUGACAUACUAACUAUAACGUUUUUUUGUCCAUUUUCUGACGAUAUACUAAACUAUGACAUUUUUAUCCCAUUGUGGACGACAUACUAAACUAUGAUGUUUUUUUGUGACAUUUUGGACGACAUACUAAACUAUGAUGUUUUUACCCCAUUUUUGACAAAAUGCAAAACUAUGAUGUUUUAAUGUUCACAGUGGAUGUCAGAGGAGCAAGAGGUCAUGUUGCAAGAAGAGGACGUGGGCGACCCAGACCACAGCCAGAGCCAGAACCUGGACCUGCCCAUGUACCUGAAUUUUGAAAAAAAAAUUCAAAAUUUAAAAUAAAGUGCGCUUUUGACACAA